CGUCAAUCCACAAAUGGGCCGAUCGUUUCGGAAAAUUUUCCUGCGUGGUGUGAUGAGAGAUUCUUAUUGUUGUCUACCAAACUUGCAUUACUAUCAAAGGGAGGAAAAGGAUUUAUCCGUAGCCUCGUGAUUAUCUCAUGAUUGGUAAUUAAAACUUUCUGAAAGUGGUAAACAUUUAAGAACAAUGAUUUGUUUGUGACCCAAUGCCCUUAGUGGAUUGCAUGAUCUAAUGUUCUGUAAUUGUAUUGUGCGGAAAAAACACCACAGGUAGCUGGGUUAUUCUCUUAAUUAGCCGUAUUUCAUAUUUCCAAAAUGCAAGCCGACACAAAAAUAGAUGAGAAGAGUCUGGUCAACUGCUUUACUUGUCAGUUUCACGUAAACCUUGAUCAUAAAGUUGAGAACACGCGCCCGCAAAAUCCCUUCCCACCCCCUGUGGAGUUGGGUUUUGUUUUUUGUUUAUCCCAUGACAAGGCACGUGACUUUCUCAUGAUGUCUAUAAAAAUUUACAAAUAGCGGAUUUGUUGAUGAAGUUGAAAUGAGUGCGAAUCGUUAGCUGAAUGAACUUAUUGUGGCUGACUUGACAAUCUUAAAUCAAGAUUUAAGAUUUAAUUUAGUCAGCAGAGAGAUAAGUUAUUCCUUGCCAUCGACAAAAUUUUCGUGACGGGAAGUCGAUUUCGGUAGGAUCGCAGUAGUAAGUAAUCUUCCUCGUCGCUUUUCAAUCAAAGUUGUCGUUCGUCAUCCACUGACAGUGACUUAAACAUGGCUCGAUGUAUCGAAGGAACGAUGAAAAUGACCUGGAGAACUAGAAUAUGCUACGGGGUCGGUCAUGUUCUCAAUGACCUCUGCGCUUCAAUGUGGUUCACCUAUCUUCUGCUCUACCUUCAUAAGGUUGCUCAAUUUUCAAAUGUGGCUUCGGGAACUUUACUUUUGAUCGGUCAAGUCGCUGAUGCUCUUUCCACGCCGUUUGUUGGUGUGGAAUCUGAUAAAACCGGAGAUUGUAGAUACGGUCGUAGAAAAGUCUGGCAUCUCGUUGGAGUUGUGUGUGUUGCUUCUUCGUUUCCUUUCAUUUUCAACCUCUGUAUUGGUUGUGAAAAUGCAUCAACUUGGGCCUUGUUUGUGUACUAUGUUCCGUUUAUUGUGAUAUUCCAGUUCGGCUGGGCAUCAACGCAAAUUUCUCAUUUAAGCUUGAUUCCAGAACUGACGGACUGCGAAAAUGAAAAAGUCACUUUAAAUGCUAUCAGAUAUGCUGCGACAGUUUCAUCAAACAUUUUUGUCUUUUUGGUGACAUGGGUUCUUAUAAGUACAGAAGGAAAAGGCUCAGACAAACUUUCUCCUUCAGACUCGACAGCUUUUAUGUAUGUUGUAUUUAUUGUGGUUGGAACUGGUCUCCUGUUCAUGCUCGUGUUUCAUAUUGGACUGAAAGAGCCUCCAAGAAGUUGUACGUAUAUAUUUGCAAAUGAAAAAAGUAAGAGAAGUGCUGGAAACUGGAUGCAUUGGUUUAAAGAAAUCCAGUUCUAUCAGGUGGCUGCUCUGUAUAUGUGCACUCGUCUGAUUGUUAACAUCACGCAAGUGUAUAUCCCCAUGUAUGCUCUUGAAACACUGUUGCUGAGCAAGGACACCAUUGCUAAAAUCCCCUUAGUCAUUUAUGUCUCUGGAUUUUUGUCCACAUUCCUUUCAAAACCAUUGAACAAAUGUUAUGGUAGGAAGGGAACAUUUUUCCUUGGAAUUCUUAUGAUAGGAGGGGUGAGUGCAUGGAUGUAUUACAUAAAUGAGAAGGACUACACAUCAGCAUAUGGAGCCUCUGCAUUAUUAGGAGUCGGUGGAUCGACUUUACUUGUCACUGCACUGACUAUGCUCGCAGAUCUGAUUGGGGAGAAUGUGGAAACAGGUGCAUUUGUUUAUGGAGCAAUGAGUUUCACAGACAAAUUAUCCAAUGGAGUUACAAUUCAACUCAUACAGAUAUUUCAUCCAUGUAACAAAUUGGGCGAAUAGCAUCAGACACCAACAAACUGGAGAAAGACGUGUGUUAGUCACGUGUACUUCUUACUGGUGUUCCUGUAACAACUGAUUUGCAAGAACACAUAAAUUAUACCUGAAAAGUCAAAUGAAAGACAUGUGUUCAUCAGAGGAAUGGUGUACUGGCAUGCAACUCAGUAGACUUUGCCAAAUGAAGUAUCUUUCAAAUCCACAAUCAAGGACCUGCUGUGCAGGAUGUGAAAUAUAUUACAAAGAGGUCAUGGUGUUUGUUACGGGUGGAGCAACCAUAAUUUCAUUGCUGGUU
rnacentral:misc_RNA from 1 species